rnacentral:lncRNA from 1 species
AUUUCAACAGGCUUCAGGAGUGAACUGAAGAAAUUGCACUGCGGAGAUGUUACCUGUUGGUCAAAAGUACAAAAACUCUUCUCAGUUGGAUAUCACAUGGUCACAGAAUGUCUUUCAUGGUGAUGCUUUGUACUGAAGGUCUGCCCAGGGGAAGCACUAACAGCCCAACACAUUACUGGUUCACCAGUUAUUAAUCUCCCCUAUACAGGGACAAGUUUUGACGUGUAUAAAUAGUCACAGUGAGUAUUAUCACCAGUUGUGUGUCCUUGGUGUUUCUGACCUCUUCUCACAAGUUCAGUUUGUACUGGAGCCAUAAGGAUUCAUUGAUGUUUUUUGACUAUUAAGAACACACAGAAACUGAAGACUGCUGCAUGUCAGGAAGCUCCUAGAUUCAUGGACCAUAAUUAGAGGCAGCGAAGCCCAGACAUGACAAGAGGACGAAGAUGAUGUUAAAACUGUAUAACAGGAUGGAGCUUCCCAGAAAACUACGGCUCAUUAAACUGGAAAAAGUCACAAGCUCUGUCACCCUAUCAAAUUGGGUAAGUAGUCCUGGGGAAAAGCAAGACUCACUGUGUAAUGACAUCAUUUAGUGGUGAACUUGUAGAGUUAGGUGGAUGCCUGGACUUGAUCUUAAUGGUAUUUUCCAGUGUUAAUGAUUCUACAAUUCUAUGAUUUGGGGGCAGCAAAGCACUUGGGGUCCAGAAGAGAUAUGCAGGCCUGAGAAG